rnacentral:rRNA from 1 species
AUACGGAGGGUGCAAGCGUUAUCCGGAAUCAUUGGGUUUAAAGGGUCCGUAGGCGGGCUAAUAAGUCAGGGGUGAAAUCCCACAGCUUAACUGUGGAACUGCCCUUGAUACUGUUGGUCUUGAGUUUCAGUGAAGUGGUUAGAAUGUGUAGUGUAGCGGUGAAAUGCAUAGAGAUUACACAGAAUACCGAUUGCGAAGGCAGAUCACUAACUGUAUACUGACGCUAAUGGACGAAAGCGUGGGGAGCGAACAGGAUUAGAAACCCUAGUAGUCC